rnacentral:rRNA from 1 species
CCUACGGGCGGCAGCAGUGAGGAAUAUUGGUCAAUGGACGAGAGUCUGAACCAGCCAAGUAGCGUGAAGGAUGACUGCCCUAUGGGUUGUAAACUUCUUUUAUAUGGGAAUAAAAUGUUCCACGUGUGGGAUUUUGUAUGUACCAUAUGAAUAAGGAUCGGCUAACUCCGUGCCAGCAGCCGCGGUAAUACGGAGGAUCCGAGCGUUAUCCGGAUUUAUUGGGUUUAAAGGGAGCGUAGGUGGAUUGUUAAGUCAGUUGUGAAAGUUUGCGGCUCAACCGUAAAAUUGCAGUUGAAACUGGCAGUCUUGAGUACAGUAGAGGUGGGCGGAAUUCGUGGUGUAGCGGUGAAAUGCUUAGAUAGCACGAAGAACUCCGAUUGCGAAGGCAGUUCACUGGACUGCAACUGACACUGAGGCUCGAAAGUGUGGGUAUCAAACAGGAUUAGAUACCCGAGUAGUC